rnacentral:rRNA from 1 species
AGUAUGUGUGGAGCCGUCCUUGAAAUACCACCCUUGUAGUGUUGAUGUUCUAACGUCGACCCCUUAUCGGGGUUGCGGACAGUGCCUGGUGGGUAGUUUGACUGGGGCGGUCUCCUCCCAAAGAGUAACGGAGGAGCACGAAGGUGGGCUAAUCACGGUUGGACAUCGUGAGGUUAGUGCAAUGGCAUAAGCCCGCUUGACUGCGAGAAUGACAAUUCGAGCAGGUGCGAAAGCAGGUCAUAGUGAUCCGGUGGUUCUGAAUGGAAGGGCCAUCGCUCAACGGAUAAAAGGUACUCCGGGGAUAACAGGCUGAUACCGCCCAAGAGUUCAUAUCGACGGCGGUGUUUGGCACCUCGAUGUCGGCUCAUCACAUCCUGGGGCUGAAGUCGGUCCCAAGGGUAUGGCUGUUCGCCAUUUAAAGUGGUACGCGAGCUGGGUUUAGAACGUCGUGAGACAGUUCGGUCCCUAUCUGCCGUGGGCGUUGGAAGAUUGAAGGGGGCUGCUCCUAGUACGAGAGGACCGGAGUGGACGAACCUCUGGUGUUCGGG